rnacentral:rRNA from 1 species
CAGUAGCCGCGGUAAUACGUAGGGUGCGAGCGUUAAUCGGAAUUACUGGGCGUAAAGCGUGCGCAGGCGGUUUGUUAAGACAGAUGUGAAAUCCCCGGGCUUAACCUGGGAACUGCAUUUGUGACUGGCCGGCUAGAGUAUGGCAGAGGGGGGUAGAAUUCCACGUGUAGCAGUGAAAUGCGUAGAGAUGUGGAGGAAUACCGAUGGCGAAGGCAGCCCCCUGGGCCAAUACUGACGCUCAUGCACGAAAGCGUGGGGAGCAAACAGGAUUAGAUACCCGUGUAGUCCCUGUCUCUUAUAC